UACAAAACCGUGGCAGACGUCAUCUUCAUAUGUGGAUUCAGAACCCAACUGGGAGGUGACAAGGCCACUGACUUUGUCAUGACUUGGGGUUCCUGGGAUUACGCAAAGAAAAAUGAAUUCAGACAUAGACUUUCAACACGUGGCCUGUCUGAGGACAGAAAGAUCUCAAAGAAGCAGCAGAGGGAAUGCAAGGGCAGAGUGAGGAAGUGAGGGGUGCUGCGGGGCUGGUGUUGGCACUGACAGACAGCAGGCGGGA
rnacentral:lncRNA from 1 species